rnacentral:rRNA from 1 species
UGGUGGAGUGAUUUGUCUGGUUAAUUCCGUUAACGAACGAGACCCCUGCCUGCUAAAUAGUCAAAUGAGUGAUUUUUCUACUGAUUGUGGCUUCUUAGAGGGACGUGCAUUUUAUUUAGAUGCAGGAGGAUAGGGGCGAAUAACA